rnacentral:rRNA from 1 species
UACGUAGGUGGCAAGCGUUGUCCGGAAUUAUUGGGCGUAAAGCGCGCGCAGGCUGUCCUUUAAGUCUGCUGUGAAAGCCCACGGCUCAACCGUGGAGGGUCAUUGGAAACUGGGGGACUUGAGUACAGAAGAGAAGAGUGGAAUUCCACGUGUAGCGGUGAAAUGCGUAGAGAUGUGGAGGAACACCAGUGGCGAAGGCGACUCUUUGGUCUGUAACUGACGCUGAGGCGCGAAAGCGUGGGGAGCAAACAGG